rnacentral:misc_RNA from 1 species
AAAAAAGAAAAAAGUCAAGCGAGGAAAUGAUCGAUUGAAGACUGUAUAUUCGUUACAAGUCAUUUUCUAGUGUGGGCUCGCGCAAUCGCAAGUGCAUUUGUCGUAUAUGUAUAUGUACAUGUUAAAGCGGAGGUGGAAGCGGACGAGAAUAGACGGGACAAACACAGACAGCCGCGCGAGCGAAGGCGGCUGAGAGAGCGAAAGCCACGUUCUAUUCGCAUGAGUGUACAAUGCGUUGGCACGUUCUGCAUUCGAGAGAAGUAUAGUAUUCGUCGUCUGUAGUUCCAUCGAGUAGACUUUUGUGUGUCCAGGACAGCAUGUCAUCUCUGUCCGAUAACAUCCAUGUCCUGGCCAGGCAAGAGGCGUUCAAGGAUUUCUCUUAUUUCGAUGAGGAGACCGUGCCCGCGAAUGUCGGCAAAUUAAUUCCACUGCAAUUUUUAAAACCGACAUCCGCCAUCAUUCUCACCGGAUACAUUCCUGAAAACGCAUCGAGGUUUUCGGUGAAUUUAACAUGCAAGACAUCUGGAAACAUCGCUUUGCAUUUUAAUCCACGACUAGACAGAGGUUAUAUUGUCAGGAACACGAGAUUACGCGGAUCCUGGGAAAAUGAAGAGACUUGUUCACCCGCUGGUUCAAGCGGAUGCAUUUUCCGUCGGAACAGCUACAUGCAUCUUAUGAUUUUUUGUACGAAUGAUGCGUUUCAGAUUGCGAUAAAUGGAGAACACUUCUGUUCCUUUUACUAUAGAUUGCCUCUCGCAGAUAUAACAGCUCUUGAAGUCAACGGCACUAUCGAGGAUAUUAGAACUCGUCAACUUAAUUUAUUUGUAUAUCCAGAUCCUAAUAUUUGUCGGCCAUCCCGAACAUUGAUUCUGACAACCGAAGAACCGCUCGUAGAUUUUCUAGACGUUCCCAUCACUGUGGGUAUCGGUAGUGAAUUUCGUGUCGGUGCUAGUUUACUCAUCGCUGGAAGAUUGAAGUUACUUCCACACUCAUUUUACGUGAAUCUGCAGAGGGGCAAAACCAUUUAUCCUCAUCCCCUUAUACCACUGCAUUUAAACCCACGCUUUUUAUAUGGCAAUAGCGCGCCAUAUGUGGUCAUGAAUUGCUGGAACAAUGGCACGUGGGAUCACGAAGAACGACAUCAAGGUCAUUUAUCUUGGAUGCCCGGCCGAGAUUUCUUGCUCACAUUCGUGUUUGCUUUAAUAGCAUUCGAUGCGAGUACGAAGGAUACACAAUAUGGCUGGAUAAUAAGAUGAUCGGUGAAUUUAAGCAUAGAUUGCAAUCAUCAAUUGUGGAUACUCUACGAAUAUCUGGCGAUGUCGUACUUUAUCAACUCAGUAUGAAUUGAUUGAACCUCAUCAGACUAUAAUACGUAUAUGCACCUUUUCAAUGAUCGCGACAUAUGUGAUGCCGAUGUAUUUUCGAUAUAAUGCUAAGGUUUUCACACACUUUUCUUGGUAUCAUAUUUAUAUAUAUAUUUACAUUUAUAUAUAUUACGAGAGCUAUUUAUUUACGAGAAUAAAUCAAUUUCAAACAAA